AAGCCUCUGUGCUCCCUACCACCCUCAAACCAAUGGCUUGGUGGAAAAGCUAAACGGCACAAUUCAAGGAGCUUUGAAGAAAAUGGUGCAGGACCACCCAAGUGACUGGGACAAGUACAUACAGCCAACUGUAUUUGGACUCCGUACUAAAAAACAGUUGACAACCAAAUACUCUCCUUAUUUUUUAUUGUAUGGAAGGGAGGCCCGUUACCCAUCUGAAAUACCAGAUAAGUGGCAGAUAUCUGAGGAACGGGUCCACAUCUAUAUGACCAAUGAGGACGUCUGCACCCACACGAACGACCUCAAAGAGGUCUACAAUAAAGUGGAGGCGAACAUUGCUGAGACGCAGGAAAAGGUGCGAAAGAGAAAACUUGCAAAGGGGGAUGAUGACAGCUUCGCAGUGGGGGACAAAGUUUUGCGAAAGAAUAUUCGGGAAGAGCAAAGGAAAGGGGGUAAACUGGAAACCGACUUGUUGGGUCCAUACAUGGCAAUCCAUAUAGAUGGAAAAAGUGCUGACUUGACAACCCUACAAGGGAAAAAUGUUUGCAAAGUGAACAUUGACCAUCUAAAGAGGUACGUGGAACCAGAAGUGCGGAUCCCUGCGAAAUGGAUUGCUGCCACAUCCACUUCUCCUCCAGCACUGCAGCCCAGCCCCGUACGGUGUUUGGGGGUUCCCCAAUCCCCGUCUGUAGCCCCAAAAUCAGACUCCUUAACAUCCAGUCUCUCACCACGGCCUGCACCUGCCUCCCCAGAGGAAUGCAAUGAUCGCUGACAUAUGGGCGGGGCAACGUCAAGGUGUGCUGUGGAGCAAAGUGGGGCCAUACAAGAUUUUUGCCACGGACCUUCAAAAUUUGGCCCCUGGGAGGCAGCUGGAGAGUUUUAAAUGCAUUCAUGCGUACGAUUGUAAUGCAGCAACAAAAAGAAACGGAAAGCCAAUUCUUUCUGAUUGACUCGUUCCAAAUGACCGCAAUGUGGCAAGGAUCAUUCAGAGGAUUGAGAAAGCUUGACCCCGUGGCCUUCGACAUCCUCAUAGGACCAGUGUGCGACAAACAGCACUGGACACUUGUGGUAAUGUAUCCAAAGGAGAAGCGGGUGCUUUACCUUGAUCCUUUAGGUGAAACUCCAGAACACCUAAAUAAAUGCAAGGAUGUGACAAGGCAAGCUAUAAAUCGG
ensembl:lncRNA